UGAUACAACGAUACCACCUUGAACACACUAGAUCUCAUCUGAUUUUGAAAGCUAUGCAGGGUCAGGCUAGGUAACUAAUUAGGUGGGAGAGACUAGAUUAAUGCUUACAUAUAAG
rnacentral:rRNA from 1 species